UAAAUUCGGUCUUUCGGGC
rnacentral:miRNA from 1 species